AUUGAACGCUGGCGGCAGGCCUAACACAUGCAAGUCGAGCGGAUGAAGGGAGCUUGCUCCUGGAUUCAGCGGCGGACGGGUGAGUAAUGCCUAGGAAUCUGCCUGGUAGUGGGGGAUAACGUCCGGAAACGGGCGCUAAUACCGCAUACGUCCUGAGGGAGAAAGUGGGGGAUCUUCGGACCUCACGCUAUCAGAUGAGCCUAGGUCGGAUUAGCUAGUUGGUGGGGUAAAGGCCUACCAAGGCGACGAUCCGUAACUGGUCUGAGAGGAUGAUCAGUCACACUGGACCUGAGACACGGUCCAGACUCCUACGGGGGCAGCAGUGGGGAAUAUUGGACAAUGGGCGAAAGCCUGAUCCAGCCAUGCCGCGUGUGUGAAGAAGGUCUUCGGAUUGUAAAGCACUUUAAGUUGGGAGGAAGGGCAGUAAGUUAAUACCUUGCUGUUUUGACGUUACCAACAGAAUAAGCACCGGCUAACUUCGUG
rnacentral:rRNA from 1 species